UACGUAGGGGGCAAGCGUUGUCCGGAAUCAUUGGGCGUAAAGCGCGUGUAGGCGGCUUGGUAAGUCCGCUCUGAAAGCCCGGGGCUCAACCCCGGGAGGCGGGUGGAUACUGUCAAGCUCGAGUCCGGAAGAGGCGAGUGGAAUUCCUGGUGUAGCGGUGAAAUGCGCAGAUAUCAGGAGGAACACCGAUGGCGAAGGCAGCUCGCUGGGACGUGACUGACGCUGAGACGCGAAAGCGUGGGGAGCAAACAGG
rnacentral:rRNA from 1 species